CUUCGCGAGUGGGUGCGCGGCUGGGGCUGCGGAUGGAGCCGAGUGUCGUGGUGCCGCGUGCAUGGUGCGUGUGGGCCGAGUGGCGGUGUGAAUGUGCGUGUGCGCGCGUGUGGGGACGUGCAAGGCGAGUGCGUGUCCGCCCCACGCCCCUCCCCUCGCCUACACCUUGAUCUUAUUUGAUCGGGUCGUGACCCCCGCCCCGCCGGGCCGCCCCGAGAUGAAAAGCAUCCCUCCUGCGAAGCCCCUCGGCGGGGCGCUGUGCAGCGAGGCCCCCUGGGCGGUGGCGGCGCCGCGGUUCCCGAGGUCCCGCGAUCGGGCCCGCGGGCCCGGCGCUCAGAAGUGAUGAAUUGAUCAGAUAGACGAGGCUGGGCCCGUCCCGGCCCGUGAUUACCGAGGCGAUUCUGAUCUGA